rnacentral:rRNA from 1 species
UGCAGUCGAACGGUAACAGAACUAGCUUGCUAGUUGCUGACGAGUGGCGGACGGGUGAGUAAUACUUAGGGAUCUGCCUCUGUGUGGGGGAUAACUAUUGGAAACGAUAGCUAAUACCGCAUAACGUCUACGGACCAAAGAGGGCUUCGGCUCUCGCGCAGAGAGGAACCUAAGCGAGAUUAGCUUGUUGGUGAGGUAAAGGCUCACCAAGGCGACGAUCUCUAGCUGUUCUGAGAGGAAGAUCAGCCACACUGGAACUGAGACACGGUCCAGACUCCUACGGGAGGCAGCAGUGGGGAAUAUUGCACAAUGGGGGAAACCCUGAUGCAGCCAUGCCGCGUGUGUGAAGAAGGCCUUCGGGUUGUAAAGCACUUUCAGUUGUGAGGAAAGGUUAGUAGUUAAUACCUGCUAGCUGUGACGUUAACAACAGAAGAAGCACCGGCUAACUCCGUGCCAGCAGCCGCGGUAAUACGGAGGGUGCGAGCGUUAAUCGGAAUUACUGGGCGUAAAGCGCACGCAGGCGGUCUGUUAAGCUAGAUGUGAAAGCCCCGCGCUCAACGUGGGAGGGUCAUUUAGAACUGGCAGACUAGAGUCUUG